AAAAAGGUUUGAAAUUUUCAUUUUUGAGUAGAGCUCAUUAAGACCUUCAAUUUGAUAUACAUAAUGACCGCAUUUGGCAAAGUGCCAAAAAUUAUGCAAUAUCAAUUAUAUAAAUAGAACUUAUGAAACUUACAAAGUCAAUGUAAAAGAUGAAAAUUUCAAAUUGAUUUUUUUUUUAGUUUUUCAUUUAAAGUUUCUGGUAAUUAGUCAAACAUAUUACCAUGUUUAAGUCUUCAAUUUCUGAAAAUUUCAGGUGGAAAGCUGUUGUUGAUUCAGAAAUACAUGCCUCCACUCUCAAAAUUUCAAACUGCAUUAUCUCUAAAACGACAAUAGAUAUUUCAAAUCUGUUAAAUGAUAAAUGAUCUGCAGUUGAAGAACAACAUUGUAGACAAAAAUUUGGGACAAUUCCAAAGUUCAUCAAGGUCACAAUGAAUCAUCAAAUAUAUGAUGCAAUACCAAACUUGAGAACCGGAAGUCUUAGAGACAUGGGACUACCACCAUUCAACUCAGGACCACUUGACCUUUCAAAUGUCACAAGGUCAAGGUCAUAGUACACUUUGAAGGUCAAGGUAAAAUUUCAUCAUGACCUGACAUUGACCUCAAACUGAAGGUCUUAAAAUACUCAUCAUUUUUGCAGUUUAUAGUAGGUUGAUAUCUGUUGCCUUUUAAAAGAUAUGCACACAAAACUAUACUUUAAAGAAUUAUCUCGUCGUAACUUUUGAACAGACGGUCGGAUAUUUUUGAGCUUAAUGUAUAAAAUAUAGAGCUCGUCGAGAGGAACAUUUUAUACACAGUAUGUAUGCAGCAAACUCUUAUCGUUUUCCUAAUAUGUAAGCUUGAAAUUGCAGCGUAAAUUUUUUUUGAACUCAGUGACCUUUGACCUUGGGUGCAAAUAAAAGGUCACAUGAAUUAAAGAUUAUUGGUGAAAAUCUCAAGUCUCUACGACUUCCGGUUCUCGAAAUAGAAUUUUUCAAAAAUUGUGUAAAAUUUUUCAAGGGAAAUAACUCCUUAUAAGGAUUGAUAACAUACUUGUUACUGUAGAUGCUGCCAUUUUCAAUUCGAUUCUAUCUCUUAUACUUUUUAAGAAAAAUGCAAAUAAAAGAAAUUGCUUCAAGGGGAUGCAACUCUCAGAGGGGAUAAUGAAAUCUUACGUGCCCUCAUAUGGUAAUACAUCAUGAUGAGAUCUACCUAUUGUCCACAUAAAAUCAUGAUAUCUUAAAAAACAACGAGGGGGGGGGGGGGCAUGUUGAAAAAACCCAAUAAAAGGGAGAUAACUUCUACAGGGGAUGAUGAAAUCCUACGUGCCCUCAUCUGGUAAUACUUCAUGAUGAGUUCUAUCGAUGGUCCAUAUUUGUUCUUGAUAACUCCAAUAGAAACGAGGGGAGGCCAUGUCAAAAAAAUGCUGGAAGAAAAAAAAAAAAAAAAAAAACCAUUAGAAAAACAAUAAGGUCUUUCCUAACGGAGUGGAAAGACCUUAAAAA